GAUGAACGCUGGCGGCGUGCCUAAUACAUGCAAGUCGAGCGAACAGACGAGGAGCUUGCUCCUCUGACGUUAGCGGCGGACGGGUGAGUAACACGUGGAUAACCUACCUAUAAGACUGGGAUAACUUCGGGAAACCGGAGCUAAUACCGGAUAAUAUAUUGAACCGCAUGGUUCAAUAGUGAAAGACGGUUUUGCUGUCACUUAUAGAUGGAUCCGCGCCGCAUUAGCUAGUUGGUAAGGAAACGGCUUACCAAGGCGACGAUGCGUAGCCGACCUGAGAGGGUGAUCGGCCACACUGGAACUGAGACACGGUCCAGACUCCUACGGGAGGCAGCAGUAGGGAAUCUUCCGCAAUGGGCGAAAGCCUGACGGAGCAACGCCGCGUGAGUGAUGAAGGUCUUCGGAUCGUAAAACUCUGUUAUUAGGGAAGAACAAAUGUGUAAGUAACUAUGCACGUCUUGACGGUACCUAAUCAGAAAGCCACGGCUAACUACGUG
rnacentral:rRNA from 1 species